UUUUAUCACAGAACUUUUAAUUUAUUCUCAUCAAAAGCACUCUAUUCAACUUAAUUAGGCAUUUUUUUCAAUCAUAUAUCACUGUUAGGUACACACAUGAAAAGAAAACAUAAAUGGGCCAGUUCCAGUGGCUUAGUGGUGAAGUUUGGUGCUCUCCGCUUUGGUGGCCCAGGUUCAGUUCCCAGGCAUGGACCUACACCAUUCAUCUGUCAGUGGCCAUGCUGUAGCAGCGGCUCAUGUACAAAAAGGGGAAGAUUGGCAGUAGAUAUUUGCUCGGGGCAAAUCUUCCUCAGCAAAGAAAGAAAGAAAGAAAGAAAACAUAAGCAAAACUAAUUGCUUAAGUCUCUAAAACUUCUUCACAUUCAGAAUCCAACUCUUCUGAAUCACCUUUACUCUGAGUGGCUGGUGGCCAGGUCAUUUUCAUGUAACAUUGCCCUCUGUGACAUCAAGAGCACAGAUGAUGCUACAUUCCUUCUAAGAGGGCUCCACUACCAUCUCUGGGAUUUUCUUCGGAGCUGCUGACACCCAUUUUGCAAGUUUUGAUUCUGGACUUUCUUGGUCUCACCAGAAGGUGUCAAUGGAAGAUUUACAGACAAGAACCCAGGAGUCCUUCUUCAAAUGGCCCCUAACUGGUUUGUGGCUAGAACAUGGCAGGGCUCAUGUUGUCCGGAAAAGCCACCAGGAAGAACAAUCCCCUUCUGGCACAGGCAGGCAGCAGUACCCACAUCGCGACUGUUACAUCUCCAACAGUCAUUGUGAUGAUGUCACGCCUGGUGAAAUCGCAUCCCGAUUUCAGAGACAGGAACGUGUGGAAAACCUCAAAAGGGAUGAACUUCAGUUGCUGGGUGACUGCGCUCUCGUGUGCUCUGGGCUAACUAGACUCACGCAGUUCUAGAAGCUGUAGGGAGAACCGACUCCCCCUGCUUGGUGGCAGAGGUGGCCUUUGAGCAGCAGCCUGAAGCAUAAAGAGGAAUGCACCACAAAGCCAGGGGAAGGCACUCCGGGCUGAAGGACCAGCCUGUGCCGUACAUGGAAGCAUGAAGAAUCCUGGCACCCCUGGCACCAGGACUCGAAGUGUCCAUACCGAACAUCACUGGGGUUUAAGCAGCCUCAACAAAUACCACUGUUUUCCCCAUCCAGGCUCUGAACUAGUUGAAGCGAAUAUAAAAGUGUAAGAGAAGUAGAGAUGAAAGCAUCAAUUUAUUACCGAUACUGGAGGUGGGGAGGGGUCUUAGAGGUGCAGCAACAAUGGUCUUCUUAAAAUGGAACCCCUGAUGAGACAGCCUUACACAGGCAGUGGGAUCAGCUGCCCCUAUAGUGGAGGCAAACGGCCUUGACGUCAACAAUAGCAAUGACGACAGUGAUCAUCAUCACCUCUUACUGAUCAGUGACUAUGUCCGAGAGACUGUGCUAAAUGCUCUGUGUUCAUUAGCACACUUAAUCCCAACAAUGACCCUGAGAUGCAUUUUUAUUAGCCUCUUUCUUCAGGUGAGGAAAUAAGGCACAUAAGUAAUUUUCCCAAAGUCACCUGGUAGGUGAGCUGGAAUUCGAACCCAGGCUCUCCAAGCCUAAAGUCUGUGCUCUUCUCGCUUGGAGGGACCGUGUCCUGAGGGCCUAUCCAUGAAGCUGCCCGUGAGAGGGAGGGGAAGGGCUGGCUACAACGGAAGGACUUGAAACAGCUCACGGUCAGCCACAAAAGAGAUUCCUAAAACCGCCUGUGGUGAGGUCCCUAUGGUUGGAGCAGCCACUCAGACACCUCGCCCUGGUACAUUGCACAGCGUAAUGGAAAAUCAACUGGCCUUGGAUUCAGACCAUCUGGGAUCCAAUUAAAUGGUUCUAUGACCCCAGAAAAAUCUGUCUCCUUUCUGGGCCUCGACUUCUCCAUCUGUGAAGCGAGGGGUGUUGGGCGAGUUGACUUGGCAGGCCCCUCCCGGCUUUGACGCGCUGAGAUUCUCGGGGCUCUGAGGCCCCCACAUUAGGCUGAGUUGUGGUCCUGCUGGAACUGAGUGGAGGGGAGCUGGGUCUGCCUUAGCCGGCAGGCCGCGGGUCUGGGUCAGAAAGGAAGUUUGGUUCUGAAAACAACACUGUGUCAGCCAGAAGAUGUCUCCUAGCCCAGCUCCCACACUCUGCCAGGUCUAGGAGAAAGCCAGACAAGGACGAAUUAAUCCCUAAUAAACUCUCCCUAAAACCUCUGUGAGUCCUGAGAGGGAGCCCAGACCAGCCCCGCUCUGAGGGCCAUACAGUAAAGAAGCAGCAGAGGGUAUGGAAGCAACUCUGUCCAUUUACAGUGACCACAGGAAACAGAGGAAGCUGCCGCCACCACAGCCAAAGCAAGAACUCAAGAAAACGGUGGGAUGCUUGGUGGCGGAGAAUAAGUGAUGCCCCAGUGUAGAAGGAAUUCUUUCAGCACUACCCCCUGGCGUCCCCACGCCCCCAAAGGCUGCAUGGCAUGAACACCUGAGGCUUUCUGCCCAGAAGAAAGUCUUCUGUCCUGCUGGAAGGAACCCUAGACUAAUGUCUGACAGACGAUAGCCCAGCUUCCUCAGCCCCAGGGUGAGAGAACUCUCUUCCAGAGGCCCCAGCGGGAUGCUGCUCCAGGAGACCACAGCGGAGCUGGCUUCUUUCCCUUCCCUGUCCCCAACCCAUGUCUCCUGGGAUCAGCUCCCAAAUGAACUAUUGGGACUUGAAUCCUUGUCUGGUGACUUUGUAAUGGGUAUGGGUCAGCCUGGCUAGGUUAAACUACGUUUCCCAGAAUUCCAUUUCCUGUAUGUUUCCAGUUAAGGUUGACCCCGAAGAAACUCUUGAGGGAGAUUUGGAGGGCAGAAGGGAAGCAGCAGCCAGCCAUUUUGCAGCUCACACAUGCGGCUGAGUGGCUGACCCGGCCUGUUGGCUUGAGGUCCACACCUCCCCCACUUUCCCCUGGACCUUCCUGCGCGUCUCUGACUUCCAGCUCAAGCGGAUGUGUUUAGCUGUUGCAAAGGACACCCCACACCAUCAAAGGCAACAGACUCCAGUUUCAGAGAGUUCUCGUGGCGUUCCAGCUCACGCUUGUGGGCUCCAGUUGUCCUUGCUCUGCCUCACUUUCCCUCCAUCUCCCCUGCCCAAUGGCCUGCCCUCCAGGCUGUGACCUCCAGCAUCAGGCACUGGGACCACAGCUUUACAGAGAAUCCCAGAAUGUGUUAAGUCCAAUCCUUGUCACCAACCCCUUAAAUGUGAAUACACGUUCUCCCAAAAGAAAAAUCAGAGAUGAAGAGUAUCAGUCAGGGUUGAGGCAAGGCCCUCCUAGGAGACGUGCGCGGCCGUUUUGCCUCUUCCUGUGGUGAUUGCACUUCUCUGAUUGAAUCCUUGCUGAUGAUUCUGUUUCUGGGGGAACCCAAAUCAAGACGGCCGGGAACUCGUAGGAUCUUUGGGGAUGAAUCAGUUCGAGUUAGAGUCCCCACGGGUCGAAUGAGACAGAGCCAGGGACACAGCAUCCUGAGGACAAUAAUUAGGAUGUCAUCUUGACCCCUCCCCCCUGGCUGGUGGGGCCCAUAUGCUACACAAUCAAGCUUUAGACUCACACCUCGCACUUCCUCCUGUUCUAAGAAAACAACAUUGGCGUACUCUCCAGUAUCCAACAAGAAAUAUUUCUGUUCAAAUGUCAACAGCAUUAUCACUUUGUUUUUAAGUGGUGGCAUGUUCCCUCGUGCUCAAAAUUGAGAACCUCGGUACAAACUCAGCC
rnacentral:lncRNA from 1 species